UCAAUUUUUGUCUUCUCUUUUUACGCUGGUGUAUUUGUCAGGUCAGCUAGACAGGACAUUAAACUUGGCGGCUCAAUGCGAAGGCAUCUAGCCAGCAAGGAGAACGUGCCAAGUGUUGGGCCACAACAUUCGACGAAGUCAAAUGCUACGUCCAAGGAAAACCAAGCCAACCUCAGCUCUGUUCCAGCAGAUAAGGAGAAUGUGAUGAGGAGCAGCUACAACCUCAGACGAGCAAAACUGUCUUCUGCAAACAAGUAGAUUGCCCACAACUUCAUGCCUCAACCUCUGACCAAGCAGCUUGCAAGCUUGUGAAGCUGAUGCAUCACGUCUCCUGCUGUCACCAAGCUCUCGUGCUGCAUGGCUGAGCAGGCCACGUGAAAAAUGUGUGCUUGGUUUUCCUCUUCCUCUUGUACUCUUCAGAAAAUUUAACGUCAUGGACUGUAUGGAGCUUGUGUUAGUUACCAUGGUUACUAAAAUGUUUUUAAUCAGGCCAAUCCUUGUGUUCUUUCUAAACGCUUGUGAACGCUUUCUAAAAAAAACAUUGGAUCUUUUGAUAUAUAUGAGCACUCUCGUUUUGAACUUGAAUUUACAGCAGUGAACAUUUUUACGUAUAUGGGCAGCACGACACAGACAAGGGACAGUUGUAAGUCAGCGCUCGUGUUGCCCAUUCCUUGUCGCUCGUCUGUGUCGCGCUGCACAUAUACGUAAAAAUGAACUGUGUUCUGUUGUGCGAGAUUUGUGUUAUCAUAAGCAUCUAACUUAUGUCAUGGUUCCAUUGUGUCAUACCUCAUAUUUUCAGCUGUGUUGGUUUCUUUAAGCUCAUAUUCAUACAUUCAUGCUUCAUUCACUGUAUAUGACAUUGUUGGUGACUCAUUAAACACAUCACCAGACUAAGAAUGUCUGUUGUCCUUUGCAUGCAUUCAAAAUUGCAGUGUACUUCUUUUUUGAGACAGAGUAUGUUAGAAGGAAACUUUUUAUGUUGAGUCACAUAGCAUGUGGGAUGCUGCAUACUAGAAGAUUUAGACGUAUGCUGCAGUCAAGUUGUGCGGCAGAGAAAGUUUAGCAGAUCCACAAUUCUUUUUUCUUGUGUGCUCUAGUAGUAAAAUGAAACAGGCCCCUAACUGCAUAAUUCAGUUGUCGCGCUGCUCUUAUUGGGUAGUUUGUAGUUACCAGAAAUAGUCAAGCUGAAAUUUCAUCCAGAUGUCACAGCAUUUAUUAGGUCUAUGAAUUCUACCUUCAUACACCGAUGUCCACAGCGGCUGUGAUGUACCAAUUAGCCAGUAGACCCUUUUCAUAAUGGUAAAGCUAGCUUUCUUGUGAGGCAGUUUAAACAACUAAUGGCAAUGUAGUCAUUUUUACAAACAGCAUCUACAAGCACAGUUUGCUUGUAUUAUGACAUGGAAAAUGUAGGCAUGACUCAUGUUGAAAUCAUGCUCAAGAGAUCAGCCCAAGUGUGUGCAGCUAGCACUUCAUCCUAAUUGGAAAGAUGGUCAGCACUGUCAUUAGUUGGGCUAAUGCGCAUCGCAGAGAAGUGCACUUUCGAGUUGAGAAAAGGGUCUAUUGUCAGGUGGCGUGCAGAUAUCUGUUGCACCAAGCUAGUUUGCAAGUGUCAGUUGGGCAUAUCCCUUUCAGGUGCUAUGUGUGCAAAUGUGCACCCAGGAUAGUAUAUCAAAAUUAAGGUAACUGAUGAAGAUAUUGAAAACAUCCCACAUAGAUGUUGAAACACUUCUGAUCUUAGCUGUGCUUUUAAGUUUGAAUAAUACUAUGCGAGUUUUAGUAAAAUCAGUUGAAAGUUAGAUGGCUUUUAGUACUGUUUUCUCUUAGUGUCAGUAUGACGUUAUC